rnacentral:tRNA from 1 species
GCAUUGGUGGUUCAGUGGUAGAAUUCUCGCCUUCUAUGCGGGAAGCCUCAGUUCGAUUCCCAGCCAUUGCA